rnacentral:rRNA from 1 species
GUCGAGCGGGGAAAGGUAGCUUGCUACUUGACCUAGCGGCGGACGGGUGAGUAAUGCUUAGGAAUCUGCCUAUUAGUGGGGGACAACAUCUCGAAAGGGAUGCUAAUACCGCAUACGUCCUACGGGAGAAAGCAGGGGACCUUCGGGCCUUGCGCUAAUAGAUGAGCCUAAGUCGGAUUAGCUAGUUGGUGGGGUAAAGGCCUACCAAGGCGACGAUCUGUAGCGGGUCUGAGAGGAUGAUCCGCCACACUGGGACUGAGACACGGCCCAGACUCCUACGGGAGGCAGCAGUGGGGAAUAUUGGACAAUGGGGGGAACCCUGAUCCAGCCAUGCCGCGUGUGUGAAGAAGGCCUUUUGGUUGUAAAGCACUUUAAGCGAGGAGGAGGCUACCGAGAUUAAUACUCUUGGAUAGUGGACGUUACUCGCAGAAUAAGCACCGGCUAACUCUGUGCCAGCAGCCGCGGUAAUACAGAGGGUGCAAGCGUUAAUCGGAUUUACUGGGCGUAAAGCGCGCGUAGGUGGCCAAUUAAGUCAAAUGUGAAAUCCCCGAGCUUAACUUGGGAAUUGCAUUCGAUACUGGUUGGCUAGAGUAUGGGAGAGGAUGGUAGAAUUCCAGGUGUAGCGGUGAAAUGCGUAGAGAUCUGGAGGAAUACCGAUGGCGAAGGCAGCCAUCUGGCCUAAUACUGACACUGAGGUGCGAAAGCAUGGGGAGCAAACAGG